rnacentral:rRNA from 1 species
UACGUAGGGCGCAAGCGUUAUCCGGAAUUAUUGGGCGUAAAGAGCUCGUAGGCGGUUUGUCGCGUCUGCCGUGAAAGCCCGGGGCUUAACCCCGGGUCUGCAGUGGAUACGGGCAGGCUAGAGGUAGGUAGGGGAGAAUGGAAUUCCCGGUGUAGCGGUGAAAUGCGCAGAUAUCGGGAGGAACACCGGUGGCGAAGGCGGUUCUCUGGGCCUUACCUGACGCUGAGGAGCGAAAGCGUGGGGAGCGAACAGGG